rnacentral:lncRNA from 1 species
AUGACCAACCCUCUCUACACUGGACUUAGUGCAUUGUCCGAUGCAUGCCCAACUAAAGCAGUCUACCAGUCUGAACGUCACAGUGAGUUGCUUUGUUAAGCAUCGCGAAAUUGGUGCCCUGCAUGCAGCGUAUAGGUUGGACGAUGUGCAAAGGCCGCACUAUUGUUGCAUUGUGAAACACGUCGGCAGUCAGUGCUUGCCAAGCACUCUUGCACCGCAACAAUAACUUCCCAAUAUAAGGCAGCGUCGGUGGGAUGCGUGCGCAGCGCUCUGACUAAUUACAGAAAUUCGGAAAGUCGUUAGAGACAGCUCGCUGCGAUUUAUGGCAAGAACUGUUGCAGUAUUGUUGGCUGGGUAAUUGCUUCGCUGAGGGUGAAGCCAAAGUGACCACGAUAUUUUGUUUUACAAAAAAAGAAAAAAACUGCUCAUGAAGGAACAAAAGGUGAUUGUGGCUGAGGAUUAUGAUAUUCAGCGUGCCUACGUAGUAGCUGGCCUUGCACAGCAUUGACCCCUUUUUUAGAGCUUUACAAUGUUUCUUCGUCUCCAAGGCACGCAGUGCUAUGACAUUCCAAAUUGGAUAACUGCUUCUUCGGCACAGAACGGCAGCACAUAGUAACAUUCAGCAUUGAAUUUGAAAGCCAGGUGCCAUGGGAAAAGACAUGCUGACAACCUUAGCUACGCUUGCAGUUCUUAUAUCUGUCGCAGCUCCCAAGUGCUGGCCAAGGGACUAUGGCUUUGGCAGUCCUGUGUGCGUGUGCGGAAUGACGUACUGCGACUUCAUCGGCGACAUCGGGCCCCUGCCGAAAGGAGCAGCGGUUGCCUUUGAGAGCAGCAAGGCCGGACUCCGAUUCCGGAGAACUGUAUUGUUCCGCA